GUAGUAUGGGAUAGCCACUAGAAAUGGUGGGUAAUACUGUAUAAUCCCUGCGGGGGAAAGAUUUAUCGCUAUUAGAUGAGCCUAUGUCAGAUUAGCUAGUUGGUGGGGUAAUGGCCUACCAAGGCGGUGAUCUGUAGCUGGUCUGAGAGGAUGAUCAGCCACACUGGAACUGAGACACGGUCCAGACUCCUACGGGAGGCAGCAGUGGGGAAUAUUGGACAAUGGGCGCAAGCCUGAUCCAGCUAUGCCGCGUGAGUGAGGAAGGCCUUAGGGUUGUAAAACUCUUUCAGUAGGGAAGAUAAUGACGGUACCUACAGAAGAAGUCCCGGCAAACUCCGUGCCAGCAGCCGCGGUAAUACGGAGGGGGCAAGCGUUGUUCGGAAUUAUUGGGCGUAAAGGGCAUGUAGGCGGUUUGGUAA
rnacentral:rRNA from 1 species